rnacentral:rRNA from 1 species
AUUGAACGCUGGCGGCAGGCCUAACACAUGCAAGUCGAGCGGAUGAAGGGAGCUUGCUCCUGGAUUCAGCGGCGGACGGGUGAGUAAUGCCUAGGAAUCUGCCUGGUAGUGGGGGAUAACAUCCGGAAACGGGCGCUAAUACCGCAUACGUCCUGAGGGAGAAAGUGGGGGAUCUUCGGACCUCACGCUAUCAGAUGAGCCUAGGUCGGAUUAGCUAGUUGGUGGGGUAAAGGCCUACCAAGGCGACGAUCCGUAACUGGUCUGAGGGGAUGAUCAGUCACACUGGAACUGAGACACGGUCCAGACUCCUACGGGAGGCAGCAGUGGGGAAUAUUGGACAAUGGGCGAAAGCCUGAUCCAGCCAUGCCGCGUGUGUGAAGAAGGUCUUCGGAUUGUAAAGCACUUUAAGUUGGGAGGAAGGGCAGUAAGUUAAUACCUUGCUGUUUUGACGUUACCAACAGAAUAAGCACCGGCUAACUUCGUG